rnacentral:rRNA from 1 species
AGCGUACACGGUGGAUGCCCUGGCAGUCAGAGGCGAUGAAGGACGUGCUAAUCUGCGAUAAGCGUCGGUGAGGUGAUAUGAACCGUUAUAACCGGCGAUUUCCGAAUGGGGAAACCCAGUGUGUUUCGACACACUAUCAUUAACUGAAUCCAUAGGUUAAUGAGGCGAACCGGGGGAACUGAAACAUCUAAGUACCCCGAGGAAAAGAAAUCAACCGAGAUUCCCCCAGUAGCGGCGAGCGAACGGGGAGGAGCCCAGAGCCUGAAUCAGUGUGUGUGUUAGUGGAAGCGUCUGGAAAGGCGCGCGAUACAGGGUGACAGCCCCGUACACAAAAAUGCACAUAUUGUGAGCUCGAUGAGUAGGGCGGGACACGUGGUAUCCUGUCUGAAUAUGGGGGGACCAUCCUCCAAGGCUAAAUACUCCUGACUGACCGAUAGUGAACCAGUACCGUGAGGGAAAGGCGAAAAGAACCCCGGCGAGGGGAGUGAAAAAGAACCUGAAACCGUGUACGUACAAGCAGUGGGAGCCUCUUAAUGGGGUGACUGCGUACCUUUUGUAUAAUGGGUCAGCGACUUAUAUUCUGUAGCAAGGUUAACCGAAUAGGGGAGCCGAAGGGAAACCGAGUCUUAACUGGGCGUUAAGUUGCAGGGUAUAGACCCGAAACCCGGUGAUCUAGCCAUGGGCAGGUUGAAGGUUGGGUAACACUAACUGGAGGACCGAACCGACUAAUGUUGAAAAAUUAGCGGAUGACUUGUGGCUGGGGGUGAAAGGCCAAUCAAACCGGGAGAUAGCUGGUUCUCCCCGAAAGCUAUUUAGGUAGCGCCUCGUGAAUUCAUCUCCGGGGGUAGAGCACUGUUUCGGCAAGGGGGUCAUCCCGACUUACCAACCCGAUGCAAACUGCGAAUACCGGAGAAUGUUAUCACGGGAGACACACGGCGGGUGCUAACGUCCGUCGUGAAGAGGGAAACAACCCAGACCGCCAGCUAAGGUCCCAAAGUCAUGGUUAAGUGGGAAACGAUGUGGGAAGGCCCAGACAGCCAGGAUGUUGGCUUAGAAGCAGCCAUCAUUUAAAGAAAGCGUAAUAGCUCACUGGUCGAGUCGGCCUGCGCGGAAGAUGUAACGGGGCUAAACCAUGCACCGAAGCUGCGGCAGCGACACUAUGUGUUGUUGGGUAGGGGAGCGUUCUGUAAGCCUGUGAAGGUGGCCUGUGAGGGUUGCUGGAGGUAUCAGAAGUGCGAAUGCUGACAUAAGUAACGAUAAAGCGGGUGAAAAGCCCGCUCGCCGGAAGACCAAGGGUUCCUGUCCAACGUUAAUCGGGGCAGGGUGAGUCGACCCCUAAGGCGAGGCCGAAAGGCGUAGUCGAUGGGAAACAGGUUAAUAUUCCUGUACUUGGUGUUACUGCGAAGGGGGGACGGAGAAGGCUAUGUUGGCCGGGCGACGGUUGUCCCGGUUUAAGCGUGUAGGCUGGUUUUCCAGGCAAAUCCGGAAAACCAAGGCUGAGGCGUGAUGACGAGGCACUACGGUGCUGAAGCGACAAAUGCCCUGCUUCCAGGAAAAGCCUCUAAGCAUCAGGUAACAUCAAAUCGUACCCCGAACCGACACAGGUGGUCAGGUAGAGAAUACCAAGGCGCUUGAGAGAACUCGGGUGAAGGAACUAGGCAAAAUGGUGCCGUAACUUCGGGAGAAGGCACGCUGAUAUGUAGGUGAAGCGACUUGCUCGUGGAGCUGAAAUCAGUCGAAGAUACCAGCUGGCUGCAACUGUUUAUUAAAAACACAGCACUGUGCAAACACGAAAGUGGACGUAUACGGUGACGCCUGCCCGGUGCCGGAAGGUUAAUUGAUGGGGUUAGCGGCAACGCGAAGCUCUUGAUCGAAGCCCCGGUAAACGGCGGCCGUAACUAUAACGGUCCUAAGGUAGCGAAAUUCCUUGUCGGGUAAGUUCCGACCUGCACGAAUGGCGUAAUGAUGGCCAGGCUGUCUCCACCCGAGACUCAGUGAAAUUGAACUCGCUGUGAAGAUGCAGUGUACCCGCGGCAAGACGGAAAGACCCCGUGAACCUUUACUAUAGCUUGACACUGAACAUUGAGCCUUGAUGUGUAGGAUAGGUGGGAGGCUUUGAAGUGUGGACGCCAGUCUGCAUGGAGCCGGCCUUGAAAUACCACCCUUUAAUGUUUGAUGUUCUAACGUGGGCCCCUUACCGGGGUUGCGGACAGUGUCUGGUGGGUAGUUUGACUGGGGCGGUCUCCUCCUAAAGAGUAACGGAGGAGCACGAAGGUUGGCUAAUCCUGGUCGGACAUCAGGAGGUUAGUGCAAUGGCAUAAGCCAGCUUGACUGCGAGCGUGACGGCGCGAGCAGGUGCGAAAGCAGGUCAUAGUGAUCCGGUGUUCUGAAUGGAAGGCCAUCGCUCAACGGAUAAAAGGUACUCCGGGGAUAACAGGCUGAUACCGCCCAAGAGUUCAUAUCGACGGCGGUGUUUGGCACCUCGAUGUCGGCUCAUCACAUCCUGGGGCUGAAGUAGGUCCCAAGGGUAUGGCUGUUCGCCAUUUAAAGUGGUACGCGAGCUGGGUUUAGAACGUCGUGAGACAGUUCGGUCCCUAUCUGCCGUGGGCGCUGGAGAACUGAGGGGGGCUGCUCCUAGUACGAGAGGACCGGAGUGGACGCAUCACUGGUGUUCGGGUUGUCAUGCCAAUGGCACUGCCCGGUAGCUAAAUGCGGAAGAGAUAAGUGCUGAAAGCAUCUAAGACACGAAACUUGCCCCGAGAUGAGUUCU